rnacentral:rRNA from 1 species
CCUACGGGAGGCAGCAGUGAGGAAUAUUGGUCAAUGGGCUUACGCCUGAACCAGCCAAGUCGCGUGAGGGAAGACUGUCCUAUGGGUUGUAAACCUCUUUUGUCAGGGAGCAACGCCGGCUACGUGUAGCCUUACUGAGUGACCCUGAAGAAAAAGCAUGGGCUAACUCCGGGCCAGCAGCCGCGGUAAUACGGAGGAUGCGAGCGUUAUCCGGAUUUAUUGGGUGUAAAGGGUGCGUAGGCGGAUUGCCAAGUCAGCGGUAAAAUGGAGGGGCUCAACCUCGCCUCGCCGUUGAAACUGGCGUUCUUGAGUGAGCUAGAAGUAUGCGGAAUGCGGGGUGUAGCGGUGAAAUGCAGAGAUAUCACGCAGAACUCCGAUUGCGAAGGCAGCAUACCGGCGCCCAACUGACGCUGAAGCACGAAAGCGUGGGUAUCGAACAGGAUUAGAUACCCCUGUAGUC